UACGGAGGGUGCGAGCGUUAUCCGGAUUCACUGGGUUUAAAGGGUGCGUAGGUGGAUUAGUAAGUCAGUGGUGAAAUCUCCGGGCUUAACCCGGAAACUGCCAUUGAUACUAUUAGUCUUGAAUACCGUGGAGGUCAGCGGAAUAUGUCGUGUAGCGGUGAAAUGCUUAGAUAUGACAUAGAACACCAAUUGCGAAGGCAGCUGGCUACACGAGCAUUGACACUCAGGCACGAAAGCGUGGGGAUCAAACAGG
rnacentral:rRNA from 1 species